rnacentral:tRNA from 1 species
CAUUAGAUGACUGAAAGCAAGUAAUAGCCUCUUAAGCUACAUUAUAGUAACUAACAACUACUUCUAAUGA